CCAAUAGCGUAUAUUAAAGUUGUUGCAGUUAAAAAGCUCGUAGUUGAAUUUCGGGAUCAAUAUGUUGGUCGUGCCUCGGUACGUACUAGCAUAUUGGUUUCUCCUUUCUGAAGAACCAUGAUGUCAUUUAUUUGGUGUCGUGGGGAAUCAGGACUGUUACUUUGAAAAAAUUAGAGUGUUUAAAGCAGGCUCACGCUUGA
rnacentral:rRNA from 1 species